rnacentral:rRNA from 1 species
UACGGAGGGUGCAAGCGUUAUCCGGAUUCACUGGGUUUAAAGGGUGCGUAGGUGGGUCUGUAAGUCAGUGGUGAAAUCUCCGAGCUUAACUUGGAAACUGCCAUUGAUACUAUAGAUCUUGAAUAUUGUGGAGGUCAGCGGAAUAUGUCAUGUAGCGGUGGAAUGCGUAGAUAUCGGGGGGAACAUCAGUGGCGAAAGCGGCACCCUGGCAUUAGCCUGACGCUCAUGUGCGAAAGCGUGGGGAGCGAACGGG